GCAGACGUGGCGGAACUGGCAGACGCACUGGAUUUAGGUUCCAGCGGCUUGGCCGUAAGGGUUCAAAUCCCUUCGUCUGCACCA
rnacentral:tRNA from 1 species